rnacentral:lncRNA from 1 species
GCACGUAUUGUCAUAGAAGAUAGAAACAAUUGAUUCCACUAUUAAGAAGAAUUGUUCAUAGUCAAGUUGAAUGAUACUUUAUUGGAAUUUUUGGUGCACAUGUAUGUUUAUGCUAUCUUACACGCAAUACUUUUGUAGCAUAAGAUAAUAACAUGUAUCCAUCAUUUCUUAGACGUUCGAGCAGCAACAAAUACCACCAUGAUCUGAAUGGCAGUGGCCAUGCUUGAAUUCAAAAAAUGCGCAAUGUCCCAUGCAUGGUUCGUCAGACACAUAGUCUCCCUCGCAGGCUUUGAACUUCAUACAUAAGUUGGGAAUUGGGGUUGGUUUUGGACCUACCCACAACAAAUAUAUCAACAUUAGAAUACAUAAAUUACAUAAGUUCAUGAGUUAGUUUAAAUUACACACGCAAAGGUGUGCACAUAUGUUAAUCCACAAAUGAUCAGGAAAAUGAUAGAAAAUUGUUGUACCUGCAUGGCAUGAUAGUAGAAUGCUAGACACCAUUAUAAGAGAGCCACCAAGCAUAGAGCUCGUGUGUUCAUCUUGGUAAGUCCCAUGAGGAG